GGAAGAGCCAUAGCUCAGUGGGAGAGCAUCUGCUGUGCAUGCAGAAGAUCCCAUGUUCAAUCCCCAGCAACAUUUCCA